AUACAAUGCAGAACUGGUUCCUAGCUACUGGAGACGAGUUUCAAAUAAAAUUUUGGGACAUGGACAACGUUGACAUCUUGCCAACUACUGCUGCAAAGGGUGGAUUACCGGCUUCUCCUUGCAUUCAAUUUAACAAGGUAGAGAUACUGUUAGCUGUAUCGACAAGAAAGAAUUGAAUCAAUAUACUUGCAAAUGCUGAUGGUCUAUGGCUUUUGCAUUCUAUUGAAAA